rnacentral:rRNA from 1 species
AGUGAACGCUGGCGGUAGGCCUAACACAUGCAAGUCGAACGGCAGCACAGUAAGAGCUUGCUCUUACGGGUGGCGAGUGGCGGACGGGUGAGGAAUACAUCGGAAUCUACUUUUUCGUGGGGGAUAACGUAGGGAAACUUACGCUAAUACCGCAUACGACCUACGGGUGAAAGCAGGGGAUCUUCGGACCUUGCGCGAUUGAAUGAGCCGAUGUCGGAUUAGCUAGUUGGCGGGGUAAAGGCCCACCAAGGCGACGAUCCGUAGCUGGUCUGAGAGGAAGAUCAGCCACACUGGAACUGAGACACGGUCCAGACUACUACGGGAGGCAGCAGUGGGGAAUAUUGGACAAUGGGCGCAAGCCUGAUCCAGCCAUACCGCGUGGGUGAAGAAGGCCUUCGGGUUGUAAAGCCCUUUUGUUGGGAAAGAAAAGCAGCAGGUUAAUACCCCGCUGUUCUGACGGUACCCAAAGAAUAAGCACCGGCUAACUUCGUG